ensembl:lncRNA
UUUUGUUUAUUUUCUACGUUUUGAAUAGAGUCAGCUAUUACUCAAAUUUAAAAAAAUUAAAGUUGAAAGUGAUAUUUCACAAAAUAAAUUUGAAAUCCACAUUUUUACAUCUAUAAAGUUUUUAUUUUUCCCUCUUGAAUCAUUAGAUUCUUUUUUUAAAUAAUAAAAACACCUUCAGCAUUUUUGCCUCAAUCUUGCUCACACGGUGAAUGUUGAAUAAUUAAUUUCUUUGCACAUUUUGGUUAGUGUUGACGGCUUGAGUUACUUGGUGACGAACUGCUCUUUCAUUCCUUGUUUUAGCCCCUUUAACACAGAUGACAGGAGUGUGUUUGUAACUGCAGAGACCGUCAGACCGUGCACAUGGAUAGAGAUUCAGAAGAAUCAGAAGAGGAUGUUCAAGAAGAGGGCAAAGCCUCUGUUUUAUGGGAGAGAUGUUUUGAGCAGAGCAUCUUUGUAGACCUCAGUGAGGAUGAAAGCAUCCACCUCAGUGAUCUGGACAAUUCUUUGGCUUUGCAUGUGUCUCGAGCAGAGUCUGCACCCUCUGAAAACAGCAUCCAUCUCAGUGGAAGUGCAGAGUUGUCAGCGUUGGAUGACUCCCCAUCGGAGAGCAGUCGAUCUAACAGUAACUGUGAGAAUGUGACUGAGGGUAAAACAGGGAGCAGUAAGUUGCCAAUGUCUCCUCAGAGACCAAACACCUUACAGAAUGAGUUUCCCCAAAAGCCUGGGUGUGGGGAAUCAGGAGGAAAUACCAGUGAUGAGGAUCAGGAGGACUUACCGUAUGAUGGUGACGUUGGAAGCCCGUACUUCAACCAGACAACUAGCUCAGAAGAAAAUUCGGACGGAGGGAACACCGUUCAUGGAAGUCCUGAUCCUCCGGCUCCACUGGAAUCGUUCCACAAAGACGCCAACACAGAUGAAGAAAAACCCUCUGCAGCUUCUGAGGCAACUGGGUUGGCUAAUCCUUGUUCAGAUCUGACAAACAUCAACCAUUUGCUGCUCCAGCAUUUUUCCCAGGAAGAGUUAUUGGGAUCCGGAAGGCUGAUUGAAGCAGAAACGCUGCCAGAAGUGUCCCUACUGGAGAGCGUGGACGACACUGUUGUCAGCUUCUCAGCCUACAACCAUGCAGAAAACUUAAGGAAGCAAACAGAAAGCUUUGAGGAAAGAAGUGAUUCCAAAUCAAACAAUGAAAGCUCAGAGGUAAAGACAGAAAAGGAAAUUGAUCAUCCAACAUCUAAUGCUUCUGCAAGUUCAAACCAGAGCAUUCAGAACACGAAUGCAGAUCUGUUGGAGCUUGAUGAUAAGAAAGAGGAUGUGCGAAUUCAAACAGUUCCUCUUUUGCGGACCAGAUCUCUUGGCGAGAUUAAAUAUGGUCAAGGCAAGGUUCAUUAUCGUCUUCCUGAUUUUUCCAAAGUGCCUUCUAAAGUAAAAAUCCCCAAAGCUCCAAGUGGUCCAGUGAAGCCUGUCCCUCCCCACUCUGACAGUGUACCCAGAGCCCAGUCUUCUCCUGACAUCUUAGAUGUGAUCAGCAGAGUCCUGGAGGACUUUGUCCAUCCUUCAGAGAAGCCCUACGUCUUCAACGCCAACGACAGACAGACUCCGUCAGUACCGCUGCAUCAUCUGCAGGUGGUUUUCGUAGAUUUAAAAGUUAGUGGAAACUGUUUCACAAGCAUUUUUAAUCAUUUGUGUAUAUAUUUUUUAGGAUCACUAUGACAAAUUACUAACCGACUAUACAACAGGAGAGAAUCAGAAAGACACAAUCAGGCACGGAACCAAAGUAAGUAAUAAAAACUAAGUUAUUAUGAGCCAUUAAAUGCAUAAUUCUAAAUAUGGGAUAAGGACAGAUUAAUCUUUUUUCACAGACCCAGAUGUUGUUGUCGGACCAUGAGCGAAACAGACUUUAUGAUAAAGACAAAAAGGAGGAGGUUGAGUGUGUUGAAAAUGGUCUUUUGCAGAGCUCGACUCCUCAUCUUCCAACAACAGGUAUACAAAUAUAAUUUUCUGGCACCUAGUUUUGUAGCCACUUUCUUUCAUUUGAUUCUUUUUAUGUGGUACGGUCCAAAUCUGACCUUUUUUUUGUUAAGAUCACUUAACUCACAUUUGCAGCUUUUUUAUUGAGAUUUAAAAGAUUUAAAAUGACCAUUGAUGAGUAAAGAAAGCCCAAUGACAGCAGAAACUUAAAAAAAGUUUUUUUCCCCUUGUCAGCAGUAGAUUUAAAGUGAAUUUAACACAAUAUUUUAAGUUUAGGUGUCUGAAAACAAGAAAAGUAAUUAAAAAGACAUUGCUUUGAUACACACAUUCAUUAUGCAAAAGUGCAAACUGACUUAUUUGUUGUGUAUCUGCUGUAUAAAGAUAAACAAAAGUUUCCAUAAAUUCAUCAUUUUAGAAAUAUUAUUAUUUCAAAAGAGAUUCAGCUAAAAUGGGUUUAAAAGUUUGCUGCAAAAUUCAACUUUUAGGUUUCCUGUUAAUAAUGGAUGAUGCAGGGGUAGAAUUGUUAACCUCUGAUCAGAAGAUCUCAGGUUCAGUUCCCACCUUACCUGCCCAUGAGUCAAAGUGUCCUUGGGCAAAAAGCUGAACCCUACAUUGAUCCUGGUGGUCAUAGGUUGGACUUUUGUAAGGCCCUGUGUGGGAACGUGUGUGUGUGCAUACAUGGGUAAAUGGGACUGUGACCGUAAAGCUCUUUGGACCUUCAAGGAAGGUAGAAAAGCACUAAUUAAAUAAACGCCAUAUACCAUAUGUUGAGGAUUUUUAAAAUAAAACAAAAUAUUUGUAGAUUUUUUGUCCAAUUCUGUCUUGGGACAAGAAAGCAAUCUAAAUAAAGAUAAAAACAUUUCCAUAAGAAAAUGAUAAAACAAGAACAGAGAUCUUAAACACAUCCUUUUUUACAGAAAUAUAGACAGGAUGCUGCUGUUAAUGGCUUAUUUCAUUUCCUUUUUUCAGUACCAACAUUUACAGUAAAGGAGAUGUUACAAUUUAGCAUUUUCUUGUUAUAGAAAACCUCUGUGAACAAACAGGAGAAAAAACUGAAAACAUCAAGGAGGGGGACUCGCUUUUGUCAAAGCAGCAUGAAGAUGUUCAGAGUGACGGCGAGAGAAUGACUGCUGAGCUGAGAGACAUCAUCAGCCAGUUCAUGCAUAAGGUGUUGGCCCUUUUACCACUCUCCUUGUAAACCAUUCACUCUUUUUUAUCUAAAGAAUAAAUAAAUACCAUAAUUCAUUGUAAUUUUUUUUCAGACGGACGAGUUCAAAUUUAGCGUUACCAACAUGACUGUGAGCACAGAUGAACAGCAAAUGGUAUACACCUUUCACUCUUCAAAACAAAAAAGACAUUUUUCCAGACCCUCUGCAUACGCGUUUACCGGUAUGUUAAACCUGUCUUUUGUAAGAUUUUGAGGAGCAUGAUGGAGGCUCAGGACCAUCUGGAGCGCAAAUACAUGAGUAAGAAAGAAGAGCAUAGAGCUCUGGAGAUGCAGAACUACAUGGGUCUGUCCAGGAACACGGGCACCUUUGACCCAAACAGGUAUGAAGAGCGUCACUCCAAUGAUAGCCCCCCCUGCAAUGUGUUUGAACAUCUAUCCAUGCGUGUGCAGGCAGCUGGAGGGAGACAUAUUCAGGAUCGGGAUGCACCUCGAGGACAUCAAGGAAAUGAUUGACAAGAAUGUGUACGAGCAGAUUUCUCUACCCCACUCAUCCUCCACCUCCACCCCCAUAACAGCCCAAAUGAAGACUGUUCCAUUUUGCACACCAUCAUCCCCUCCACACCCGCAUCAGGUAACACACUUACUGACAUACAGCUGCUGCUUUGUAGCAACACAAAGGCUUGUCAAAGUGUUUGACAUCAAAUUUUGACACAACUGACACCAACUUGUCAAAAAUAUGACAGUAUAAACACAAUUUCCUAAAAACACC